GACGAACGCUGGCGGCGUGCUUUACACAUGCAAGUCGAACGGUGAAGGAAAGCUUGCUUUCUGGAUCAGUGGCGAACGGGUGAGGAACACGUGGGCAAUCUGCCCCAGACUCUGGGAUAACUCAUCGAAAGGAGGGCUAAUACCGGAUAUUCGGUACUGAAGUCAUAUACGGUUUCGGAAAGUCUUUCGGUCUGGGAUGAGCCCGCGGCCUAUCAGCUUGUUGGUGAGGUAACGGCUCACCAAGGCAACGACGGGUAGCCGGCCUGAGAGGGCGACCGGCCACACUGGGACUGAGACACGGCCCAGACUCCUACGGGAGGCAGCAGUGGGGAAUAUUGGUCAAUGGACGAAAGUCUGAACCAGCGACGCCGCGUGAGGGAUGAAGGUCUUCGGAUUGUAAACCUCUUUCAGCAGGGACGAAGCGAAAGUGACGGUACCUGCAAAAGAAGCACCGGCUAACUACGUGCCAGCCGCCGCGGUAA
rnacentral:rRNA from 1 species